rnacentral:rRNA from 1 species
ACAUGUGGAGCGCUUAGAAGUGAGAAUGCCGGUGUGAGUAGCGAAAGACGGGUGAGAAUCCCGUCCACCGAUUGACUAAGGUUUCCAGAGGAAGGCUCGUCCGCUCUGGGUUAGUCGGGUCCUAAGCUGAGGCCGACAGGCGUAGGCGAUGGAUAACAGGUUGAUAUUCCUGUACCACCUAGUAUCGUUUUAAUCGAUGGGGGGACGCAGUAGGAUAGGCGAAGCGUGCUGUUGGAGUGCACGUCCAAGUAGUAAGGCUGAGUGUUAGGCAAAUCCGGCACUCGUUAGGCUGAGCUGUGAUGGGGAGAGGAAAUUGUUUCCUCGAGUCGUUGAUUUCACACUGCCGAGAAAAGCCUCUAGAUAGAUAACAGGUGCCCGUACCGCAAACCGACACAGGUAGUCAAGAUGAGAAUUCUAAGGUGAGCGAGCGAACUCUCGUUAAGGAACUCGGCAAAAUGACCCCGUAACUUCGGGAGAAGGGGUGCUCUUUAGGGUUCACGCCCAGAAGAGCCGCAGUGAAUAGGCCCAAGCGACUGUUUAUCAAAAACACAGGUCUCUGCUAAACCGUAAGGUGAUGUAUAGGGGCUGACGCCUGCCCGGUGCUGGAAGGUUAAGAGGAGUGGUUA